rnacentral:misc_RNA from 1 species
CUUUUCAAUCUAUUUCGAGUCUCCUCAGAAAAACUGCACCACCUCAACCUCCUCCUCUGAGGGGGACAUGACUCUACAACACUAGGUGAAGAGAAGCAGAUGAUAACCACAGUGAGAUUAUCAGUUGAAUGAAGACGUGAUGCUUCCAUAACUAGCUCUCUGGCGCACAACUCUGGGUCAUCAUGCCGCCUAAGCCCACGCCGGACCAAGCUGACAGCAUCCUGGCUUGACAUAACAUCCCAUAUGCCAUCACAACCAAUGA